CCUACGGGCGGCAGCAGUGGGGAAUAUUGCGCAAUGGGGGAAACCCUGACGCAGCAACGCCGCGUGAGUGAAGAAGGCCUUCGGGUUGUAAAGCUCUUUAAUCAGGGACGAAGAAUGACGGUACCGGAAGAAUAAGCUCCGGCUAACUACGUGCCAGCAGCCGCGGUAAGACGUAGGGAGCACGCGUUAUCCGGAUUUACUGGGUGUAACGGGCGUGUAGGCGGGCCUGCAAGUCAGAAGGGAAAUCUGGGGGCUUAACCCCCAAACUGCUGUUGAAACUGUGGGUCUUGAGUGAUGGAGAGGCAGGCGGAAUGCCCAGUGUAGCGGUGAAAUGCGUAGAUAUUGGGAGGAACACCAGUGGCGAAGGCGGCCUGCUGGACAUUAACUGACGCUGAGGCGCGAAAGCGUGGGGAGCAAACAGGAUUAGAUACCCUUGUAGUC
rnacentral:rRNA from 1 species